UACGUAGGGUGCAAGCGUUGUCCGGAAUUAUUGGGCGUAAAGAGCUCGUAGGCGGUCUGUCGCGUCUGCUGUGAAAACUCGGGGCUUAACCCCGGGCCUGCAGUGGGUACGGGCAGACUAGAGUGAUGUAGGGGAGACUGGAAUUCCUGGUGUAGCGGUGAAAUGCGCAGAUAUCAGGAGGAACACCGAUGGCGAAGGCAGGUCUCUGGGCAUUAACUGACGCUGAGGAGCGAAAAGCAUGGGGAGCGAACAGG
rnacentral:rRNA from 1 species